UUUUUCUUUUUUUUUUCUUUUGUUUUUUGGGGUGCAGAACAGAAAUAUCGAAAUCAAAACAGAAAUAUCAAAAUCAACCAGGUCGGUUAAUCCAUUUUGGACUUAAAACUUAUUUUCUGAAAGUAGUUCGAAUGAUAGUGUAGAUUAGUAAGGCUUAUUUUGGUAUUGAGGUCUAUCUGUCGUUAUUAGAUAAAAUGGAGUUAGAAAAAAACAUAUAGAGAUAUACUUAUGCGUUCUCCGGUAGGACCGUAGAAAAUAUAUCAUAGCCGACUCAUUAUAAUAUGCGAAGCGCAAUAUUACUUACAGAAACAAACAGAAUAUUUUUCACCGUACGUUUUUCACCACAUAUGCAAUCUCUCCGCAAUUUCAAACGAAGCUAAAUACAAGUUGGCACCCCAAAUAGAAAAUGCGUUCGGUGCUUUUAGAAAGAGCAUAAAAGUUAUUAAGGUGGGAAUGUACGAGAGGCCCCCUCACCUACAAGACAUAAUGAAAUGGUCCCUCAACUUCUCUUUUUUUUUUUUUUUUGGAAAAAAUUAAGAUACCAUCUAUGUGAUUUCAUAAUUUUUUAUUUUAAUACCAUAUGGUUAAAAAUGUAUCACUUCAUACCCUGUAGCUUUAUUUUUCUCUUUCUGUUAUCCCCUCUGUUUAUUUUUUUUAUUAAAUCAGUAACAAAAUUAAAACCAAAAGGUACUAAAGUGAAAAUUGGGUAAAUCACAAGAUACUAAAGUGAAAUUCGAUAAAUCAUAGGUGGGGUAUUUAAAGUUUUUUGUAUAUAAUUUAACAAAGAGUUAACAGAGUCGUUGACAAAAAGAAAAAAAAUAAAGCCACAGAGUACUAAAGUGAUACACUUUAAACUACAGGAUACUACAAUGAGAAAGCACGAAACCACGGAUGUG
rnacentral:lncRNA from 1 species